GCCCUUCUCUAAGGAAUAGUCUCGGGAAACUGAGGGUAAUACCUUAUACGCCCUUCGGGGGAAAGAUUUAUCGGAGAAGGAUCGGCCCGCGUUAGAUUAGAUAGUUGGUGGGGUAAUGGCCUACCAAGUCUACGAUCUAUAGCUGGUUUUAUAGGAUGAUCAGCAACACUGGGACUGAGACACGGCCCAGACUCCUACGGGAGGCAGCAGUGGGGAAUCUUAUACAAUGGGCGCAAGCCUGAUCUAGCCAUGCCGCGUGUGUGAUGAAGGUCUUAGGAUCGUAAAGCACUUUCUCCAGGGAUGAUAAUGACAGUACCUGGUAAAGAAACCCCGGCUAACUCCGUGCCAGCAGCCGCGGUAAUACGGAGGGGGUUAGCGUUGUUCGGAAUUACUGGGCGUAAAGCGUACGUAGGCGGAUCAGCAAGUAUAGGGUGAAAUCCCGGGGCUCAACCCCGGAACUGCCUUGUAAACUGUUGGUCUUGAGUUCGAGAGAGGUGAGUGGAAUUCCAAGUGUAUAGGUGAAAUUCGUAGAUAUUUGGAGGAACACCAGUGGCGAAGGCGGCUCACUG
rnacentral:rRNA from 1 species